rnacentral:rRNA from 1 species
AGUUUGAUCCUGGCUCAGAUUGAACGCUGGCGGCAGGCUUAACACAUGCAAGUCGAGCGGAGAGAGGUAGCUUGCUACUGAUCUUAGCGGCGGACGGGUGAGUAAUACUUAGGAAUCUGGCUAUUAGUGGGGGACAACAUUUCGAAAGGGAUGCUAAUACCGCAUACGUCCUACGGGAGAAAGCAGGGGAUCUUCGGACCUUGCGCUAAUAGAUGAGCCUAAGUCGGAUUAGCUAGUUGGUGGGGUAAAGGCCUACCAAGGCGACGAUCUGUAGCGGGUCUGAGAGGAUGAUCCGCCACACUGGGACUGAGACACGGCCCAGACUCCUACGGGAGGCAGCAGUGGGGAAUAUUGGACAAUGGGGGGAACCCUGAUCCAGCCAUGCCGCGUGUGUGAAGAAGGCCUUAUGGCUGCAAAGCACUUUAAGCGAGGAGGAGGGUACUGGUAUUAAUACUACCAGGUACUGGACGUUACUCGCAGAAUAAGCACCGGCUAACUCUGUGCCAGCAGCCGCGGUAAUACAGAGGGUGCGAGCGUUAAUCGGAU